UACGGGGGGGGCAAGCGUUGUUCGGAAUUACUGGGCGUAAAGGGCGCGUAGGCGGCCUGCUAAGUCGGAUGUGAAAUCCCUCGGCUCAACCGGGGAACUGCGUCUGAUACUGGGUGGCUUGAAUCCGGGAGAGGGAUGCGGAAUUCCAGGUGUAGCGGUGAAAUGCGUAGAUAUCUGGAGGAACACCGGUGGCGAAGGCGGCAUCCUGGACCGGCAUUGACGCUGAGGCGCGAAAAGCCAGGGGAGCAAACGGG
rnacentral:rRNA from 1 species